UUUCGUCUGUGCUGUGGUUCCUCCCGGCCUGAAGGUGGUGCUACCACCAUUGGUGUUUCUCCAGGUGCUGGCUGUUGAUUGGUGCAGGGGCUGGAGGAGCUGCUAUAAAUGGCCUCCGCUGGAGACAAUCAUCCUCCUUCUCUUGACCCUGCUCCCAACUGCACCAGGCUUACCAUGUGGCAUUAUAUUGUAUUGUAUUGUGUUUUGUUAUGUUAAAACUUAAGCAGUCCAGGUAAUCGUAGGGGUGAGUAGCUUGUUUGGUUUAUCGUUGUUUUCUCCUGUUUAUCACAUAGGGAGUCAGUGAGAAUCCUGUGAACUUUGCUUUCUUUGGUUUGUCGGUUAGGGAAGUUAGUUUUGGGGUUAGAUUGUUUUGUUUGUUGUUUUGGCUAUGCUCACCCCGAGGCUCCAUCAAUUGAAUUAAAUCAACUUAUGCUGGACUGCAGCCCUGUGUGCCUGGUCGUCCUUGGGAGUGGGAAAAGAGGGGAGCACCAUGUGUUAUGUCCGGUUCCCCUAGGCCGGUCGUAACAUAAUUGGGGGCUCGUCCGGGAUCGUUUAAAGAAAUUAUCUGAGAUGUUUCUAGUUGUUUUGAGUUUGUUUUCUCAGUGAAAAGUCACUUCCAGUGGUUCACAGUGGGUAUUGGCGUCCGGGUGUGCACGCUCCCGCCUUCACAGGUUACUAACAACCCCCUCAGUCAGACAGAAGUGUCCAGCUGGGUCGCACAGCGGCUCCUCCUUCGGACAAUUGUUUUUUGUUUUCCUUUAUUAUUUUCGGAGAAAAUCCUGGGCGGGGAUAGAGUUCCCCGACGGAGGUAGGCGUUUCAGGACUCCGGUCGCUGAAGUUUUGCCUUUCAAGUCGCCUCGAGCCCGGCACGCUCCAGAAGAUAGACAGGUUAGUUCUCGUUAGGUAGGGUCUGGGGGAUGUUUGUUUAUUGUUGGGUUUGUUUGUGUGCAGCAUCCGGCGUUAAUAGUUAUUACGUCUGCCGCGGAGUUAGUUGGUGACACGCUAAAGUGUUGGUAGCUUAGCCUAGCGGCUAAGCGCUAUUGUCGGUGUGAUGGCUGGUGUGACAGCGUUUAGUGUGGAGGAGUUUGUGGCGUGUCUGCGUGCCUGCGUCUGCGUGCCUGCGUCUGCGUGCCUGCGUGUGUGUGCGUACCUGCGUGUGCGUACCUGCGUGUGCGUACCUGCGUGUGUGUACCUGCGUGUGUGUACCUGCGUUUUUUUGUGUGUGCGCCUGCGUCUGCGUGCCUGCGUGUGUGUGCGUACCUGCGUGUGUGUGCGUACCUGCGUGUGCGUACCUGCGUGUGUGUGCACCUGCAAAACAUCCGUUUUUUUUACAACCAAAUGUUGAAUACGAUUUGAAGGCACGAGUCCUCCACUCACCGUGAGACUGCUCUAAUGUAGCAAACUUAGUUUGCACUUAUGGGAGGGGGUGUUACGUGUGUGUGUUUUUCCUCUGCUGUUCUGUGUGCUGUUCCAGGUAUCACCCUCCCCGUCGGACUGAUCAGACACACCUGCAGCCCCUCAGCAAUCACGUGGAUUGGUAUUAAGCUGCAGGGAUGAGAGCAGACGUGGCCAGUGGGCCAGAUAGGCGAACCGAGUGGGUUCGCUGUCGGUCGCAAGUCGGAGCUACGUGGGCUCUUCGUCGUGGCAUUACUCCCUCAGUGGAGGAUUAGUAGCGUUUGUUGCUCCCUCAGUGGAGGGUAGUGUUUGUUGCUCCCUCAGUGGAGGGUUAGUAGUGUUUGUUGCUCCCUCAGUGGAGGGUUAUUGUUGUUUGUUGCUCCCUCAGUGGAGGGUUAGUGUUGUUUGUUAGUUCGUAGUCCGUAGUCCGUAGUUCUUAGUCCGUAGUCCGUAGGUUCUUAGUCCGUAGUUCGUGGUCCGUAGUUCUUAGUCCGUAGUCCGUAGGUUCUUAGUCCGUAGGUCCGUCGUUCGUAGUCCGUAGCCCUUCGCCUUAGCGUCGGCCUCUGUAGGUGCUGUCUGUAUAUGUUCUUAUUGGGUCAAACAUUUCCUGUAGAGGAGGAAAUGUUUGUUCUUAGGUGGGGGGGUGUUACGACCCAGGGUCGUAUGUGUAUUUUUCAGUGUUGGAUUUCGUCUGUGCUGUGGUUCCUCCCGGCCUGAAGGUGGUGUUACCACCCUUAGGCUCUCUCCCUCUCCAGGUGCUGCUCCUCCCGGCCUGAGGGUGGUGCUACCACCAUUGGUGUUUCUCCAGGUGCUGGCUGUUGAUUGGUGCAGGGGCUGGAGGAGCUGCUAUAAAUGGCCGCCGCUGGAGACAAUCAUCCUCCUUCUCUUGACCCUGCUCCCAACUGCACCAGGCUUACCAUGUAAGCCUGGUGCAUUAUAUUGUAUUGUAUUGUGUUUUGUUAUGUUAAAACUUAAGCAGUCCAGGUAAUCGUAGGGGUGAGUAGCUUGUUUGGUUUAUCGUUGUUUUCUCCUGUUUAUCACAUAGGGAGUCAGUGAGAAUCCUGUGAACUUUGCUUUCUUUGGUUUGUCGGUUAGGGAAGUUAGUUUUGGGGUUAGAUUGUUUUGUUUGUUGUUUUGGCUAUGCUCACCCCGAGGCUCCAUCAAUUGAA